GAGUUUGAUCCUGGCUCAGGAUGAACGCUGGCGGCGUGCUUAACACAUGCAAGUCGAACGAAGCACUCUAUUUGAUUUUCUUCGGAAAUGAAGAUUUUGUGACUGAGUGGCGGACGGGUGAGUAACGCGUGGGUAACCUGCCUCAUACAGGGGGAUAACAGUUGGAAACGACUGCUAAUACCGCAUAAGCGCACGGUAUCGCAUGGUACAGUGUGAAAAACUCCGGUGGUAUGAGAUGGACCCGCGUCUGAUUAGCCAGUUGGUGGGGUAACGGCCUACCAAAGCGACGAUCAGUAGCCGACCUGAGAGGGUGACCGGCCACAUUGGGACUGAGACACGGCCCAAACUCCUACGGGAGGCAGCAGUGGGGAAUAUUGCACAAUGGGGGAAACCCUGAUGCAGCGACGCCGCGUGAACGAAGAAGUAUUUCGGUAUGUAAAGUUCUAUCAGCAGGGAAGAUAAUGACGGUACCUGACUAAGAAGCACCGGCUAAAUACGUGCCAGCAGCCGCGGUAAUACGUAUGGUGCAAGCGUUAUCCGGAUUUACUGGGUGUAAAGGGAGCGCAGGCGGUGCGGCAAGUCUGAUGUGAAAGCCCGGGGCUCAACCCCGGUACUGCAUUGGAAACUGUCGUACUAGAGUGUCGGAGGGGUAAGUGGAAUUCCUAGUGUAGCGGUGAAAUGCGUAGA
rnacentral:rRNA from 1 species